CUACGGAAGGCAGCAGUGAGGAAUAUUGGUCAAUGGGCGCAAGCCUGAACCAGCCAUCCCGCGUGAAGGAUGAAGGCCCUAUGGGUCGUAAACUUCUUUUAUACGCCAAGAAAAGUUCGGACGUGUCCGAAUCUGACGGUAGUGUAUGAAUAAGCAUCGGCUAACUCCGUGCCAGCAGCCGCGGUAAUACGGAGGAUGCAAGCGUUAUCCGGAUUCAUUGGGUUUAAAGGGUGCGUAGGCGGCUUUUUAAGUCAGUGGUGAAAUCUUGCCGCUUAACGGUAAAAUUGCCAUUGAUACUGAAAAGCCUGAGUACAUUUGAGGUAAGCGGAAUGCGUAGUGUAGCGGUGAAAUGCUUAGAUAUUACACAGAACACCAAUUGCGAAGGCAGCUUACUAAACUGUUACUGACGCUGAUGCACGAAAGCGUGGGGAGCGAACAGGAUUAGAUACCCGAGUAC
rnacentral:rRNA from 1 species